CUUGACCCACUUAAACCUUAAUAUUCCUCAAUUAAACCGUUAGAUCAAGCUCAAAUUCAUGACACAUAUUGAACACAACUAUAACCAUAAAUCCACAAAUUUUCACCCGUAGAUCUAAUACAAAACUCUUGAAAUCAUCCAAAACGUAAAUCCUAUUUUAUUUCAUAAAACCCAAGUCAUCUGAAACAAACCUUGACUUUGCAAAGCUAUUACAAAGUCAAUAUAAAUCCAAAUCACCCAAAAUUAACAUCUAUAGAAACCUUAUUCAAUCUUCUAUCAAACCCUACUCUUUGAUCUACCAAAUAAUCCUUGAGUCGCCGUCAAAGCGUGGUUUUGUGCCUCGGGGUCUGAUUUCAAUCCAUGUUCAUAACCGGUCCUCUUCGGG
rnacentral:lncRNA from 1 species